UACGUAGGGGGCUAGCGUUGUCCGGAAUCAUUGGGCGUAAAGCGUGCGUAGGCGGUUCGUUAAGUUCGUUGUGAAAGCCCCGGGCUCAACCUGGGAACUGCAAUGGAAACUGGCGGGCUUGAGUGUGGCAGAGGGGGGUGGAAUUCCGCGUGUAGCAGUGAAAUGCGUAGAGAUGCGGAGGAACACCGAUGGCGAAGGCAGCCCCCUGGGCCAACACUGACGCUCAGGCACGAAAGCGUGGGGAGCAAACAGG
rnacentral:rRNA from 1 species